UGGAUGAUGUGGAUUAAUUCGAUGCAACGCGAAAACCUUACUACCUUGACAUGUCUGGAACCUUGGUGAGAGCCGAGGGUGCCUUCGGGAGCCAGAACACAGGUGCUGCAUGGCUGUCGUCAGCUCGUGUCGUGAGGUGUUGGGUUAAGUCCCGCAACGAGCGCAACCCCUAUUCUCUGUUGCCCCGCAAGGGGAUCUCUGAGGAAACUGCCGGCGAUGAGCCGGAGGAAGGUGGGAUGACGUCAAGUCAUCAUGGCCCUUACGUCCAGGGCGACACACGUGCUACAAUGGCAGCUACAGAGGGCAGCAAGACCGCGAGGUGGAGCCAAUCCCUAAAAGCUGUCUCAGUUGGGAUCGGAGUCUGCAACUCGACUCCGUGAACGCGGAAUCGCUAGUAAUCGUGGAUCAGCCAUGCCACGGUGAAUACGUUCCCGGGCCUU
rnacentral:rRNA from 1 species